GACAGAGGUGCCGAGCGUUAGGCGGAAUCACUGGGCUUAAAGCGUGUGUAGGCGGGCGGGCAAAGUACCUUGUGAAAUCCCACGGCUCAACCGUGGAACGGCUGGGUAUACUGCCUGUCUUGAGCCAACUAGGGGCGAGCGGAACAGACGGUGGAGCGGUGAAAUGCGUAGAUAUCGUCUGGAACGCCGAAGGUGAAAACAGCUCGCUGGGGUUGUGCUGACGCUGAGACGCGAAAGCGUGGGGAGCGAACAGG
rnacentral:rRNA from 1 species